UUCUUUAAUUGUAACUGUAAGUUUUUCUUUGUCUUUCUCCUUUAAACUGCUCAUCUUUUCCCACCAAAGCCAUAUCUGACAGCCGUCUCCAACAACCAUGCCUCACCUCUACAACAACUACUCAGUCCUUCUUUGAUGCUAUGGCACCGGCCAUCCUUGUAACAAGGUGUUAGGGAUUUGGACUUUUGUAAGCAGUCCCCUUUCUCUCUUGCUUCUGGGUAGGAUUUUUGAAGGGAUUAGAGCUUUGAUAGAGGGUGGAGAGGAAGCUUGUGGAGAAGCUGGGCAACUGAACCUUAGAUAACCCUUUUCUCCUAGUUUUGGAGUGUAUAUGCAACCAUGUUGUUGCUUAGAGGCUUGAUGAUUGGAUAUUUCAAGAAGGGAUGAUCUUGUCUUUGAGUGUGAGUUAGAAUUUGAAGACAUCCAGAUCAGGAAUAGUUGUGAGUGGUAGCAGCUUAGCGCCUUGGGGCAAGCUGUCUUCUAUUGCUAGCAAGUUGAUAAAUUUCCCUUGCUUGGGGUUUUAGAUUUUCAUAUCUUUGAAUAAUUGUUGUGUCAGACCUUGUUAGUUGAUUUCAUUGUAUUUCGAACAUUGUGACUCUCCUUUGCAUUUGAAAGUUAGUGUCUCUAUUAAAUGUUGUUUUUGUAGUGUGAGACCGGUAUUGAGGCCUUGUGUGCCUACUUGGUUACGACCUUGUAUGUA